rnacentral:rRNA from 1 species
CGUAAACGAUGUCGACUUGGAGGUUGUGCCCUUGAGGCGUGGCUUCCGGAGCUAACGCGUUAAGUCGACCGCCUGGGGAGUACGGCCGCAAGGUUAAAACUCAAAUGAAUUGACGGGGGCCCGCACAAGCGGUGGAGCAUGUGGUUUAAUUCGAUGCAACGCGAAGAACCUUACCUGGUCUUGACAUCCACAGAACCUUGUAGAGAUACGAGGGUGCCUUCGGGAACUGUGAGACAGGUGCUGCAUGGCUGUCGUCAGCUCGUGUUGUGAAAUGUUGGGUUAAGUCCCGCAACGAGCGCAACCCUUAUCCUUUGUUGCCAGCGGUCCGGCCGGGAACUCAAAGGAGACUGCCA